AUUGAACGCUGGCGGCAGGCCUAACACAUGCAAGUCGAACGAGUGGCGGACGGGUGAGUAAUGUCUGGGAAACUGCCCGAUGGAGGGGGAUAACACUUGGAAACAGGUGCUAAUACCGCAUACCAUCGGAUGUGCCCAGAUGGGAUUAGCUAGUAGGUGGGGUAACGGCUCACCUAGGCGACGAUCCCUAGCUGGUCUGAGAGGAUGACCAGCCACACUGGAACUGAGACACGGUCCAGACUCCUACGGGAGGCAGCAGUGGGGAAUAUUGCACAAUGGGCGCAAGCCUGAUGCAGCCAUGCCGCGUGUAUGAAGAAGGCCUUCGGGUUGUAAAGUACUUUCAGCGAGGAGGCGUUACUCGCAGAAGAAGCACCGGCUAACUCCGUGCCAGCAGCCGCGGUAAUAC
rnacentral:rRNA from 1 species